AGGUCGAGCGGACAGAAGGGAGCUUGCUCCCGGAUGUUAGCGGCGGACGGGUGAGUAACACGUGGGUAACCUGCCUGUAAGACUGGGAUAACUCCGGGAAACCGGAGCUAAUACCGGAUAGUUCCUUGAACCGCAUGGUUCAAGGAUGAAAGACGGUUUCGGCUGUCACUUACAGAUGGACCCGCGGCGCAUUAGCUAGUUGGUGGGGUAAUGGCUCACCAAGGCGACGAUGCGUAGCCGACCUGAGAGGGUGAUCGGCCACACUGGGACUGAGACACGGCCCAGACUCCUACGGGAGGCAGCAGUAGGGAAUCUUCCGCAAUGGACGAAAGUCUGACGGAGCAACGCCGCGUGAGUGAUGAAGGUUUUCGGAUCGUAAAGCUCUGUUGUUAGGGAAGAACAAGUGCGAGAGUAACUGCUCGCACCUUGACGGUACCUAACCAGAAAGCCACGGCUAACUACGUGCCAGCAGCCGCGGUAAUACGUAGGUGGCAAGCGUUGUCCGGAAUUAUUGGGCGUAAAGGGCUCGCAGGCGGUUUCUUAAGUCUGAUGUGAAAGCCCCCGGCUCAACCGGGGAGGGUCAUUGGAAACUGGGAAACUUGAGUGCAGAAGAGGAGAGUGGAAUUCCACGUGUAGCGGUGAAAUGCGUAGAGAUGUGGAGGAACACCAGUGGCGAAGGCGACUCUCUGGUCUGUAACUGACGCUGAGGAGCGAAAGCGUGGGGAGCGAACAGGAUUAGAUACCCUGGUAGUCCACGCCGUAAACGAUGAGUGCUAAGUGUUANGGGGUUUCCGCCCCUUAGUGCUGCAGCUAACGCAUUAAGCACUCCGCCUGGGGAGUACGGUCGCAAGACUGAAACUCAAAGAAUUGACGGGGCCCGCACAAGCGGUGGAGCAUGUGGUUUAAUUCUAGCAACGCGAGAACUUACCAGUCUUGACAUCCUCUGACACCUAGAGAUAGGGCUUUCCUUCGGGAAGACAGUGGCAUGAUGUCGUCAGCUCGUGUCGAUGUGGGUAGUCCGCACGA
rnacentral:rRNA from 1 species